GUCGAGCUGACGAGUCCCAAAUGGGACGAAACGCGCGUCGUGGAU
rfam:Schistosoma curassoni strain Dakar, Senegal genome assembly, scaffold: SCTD_scaffold0004992